CGUUCUAUGGCCAAAUUGGUAAAUGCAUCGUCGUUCAUAGGCGAAGAUGCGGGUUCAAGUCCCGCUGGAACGG
rnacentral:tRNA from 1 species